AACGAACGCUGGCGGCAGGCUUAACACAUGCAAGUCGAACGCCCCGCAAGGGGUGUGGCCGACGGGUGAGUACCGCGUGGGAACAUACCCUUUUCUACGGAAUAGCUCUGGGAAACUGGAAUUAAUACCGUAUACGCCCUACGGGGGAAAGAUUUAUCGGGGAAGGAUUGGCCCGCGUUGGAUUAGCUAGUUGGUGGGGUAAAGGCCUACCAAGGCGACGAUCCAUAGCUGGUCUGAGAGGAUGAUCAGCCACAUUGGGACUGAGACACGGCCCAAACUCCUACGGGAGGCAGCAGUGGGGAAUAUUGGACAAUGGGCGCAAGCCUGAUCCAGCCAUGCCGCGUGAGUGAUGAAGGCCUUAGGGUUGUAAAGCUCUUUCACCGAUGAAGAUAAUGACGGUAGUCGGAGAAGAAGCCCCGGCUAACUUCGUG
rnacentral:rRNA from 1 species